UCCACCCUCCACCUGUGGGCUUACUGGAGGUUGUCUUCUGAUGGCUCCAUGAGCACAGACUGAAGCACAUCCAAGGAGAAUUAUGCUUCUCAGUGGGGUGUGAUGUUCAGCUCCCUCCCCCUUCUCCCUCUGCACUAAGGUGUGGGCAGGACAUCUUCUCAUCUAAUUCUUGGCCGGCUCCUGCCCAACCUGACUCCGACCUGACACACCCAUGCUGCUCCGUUACACUCUUCCCUACUCAGCUGACCUAUUUUCUGUGGUUUUUGUUUUUUUGGUAUGAUUCUUUCCAAGUUCCAGGUCAUUGGAGAGCUCGUGAGUCAGGAGUGAUAGCUUAUCCCCCUAGGUUCCAUCACACAUCCAGUCACUAAGGAGGAACAUAAAUUUCAACAAGCAGGCCUGAAGUGUGAAUGCAGAUCUACUGAACUAAGCAAAUGCAAAGUCCUCUGCACGCUCUGGUGCCAGGUGAGCCCUGCUCCCCACCUGCACGAGCCAAAGAUGUCUCAUCUCAGAUCUUCGUCGUUCCCAAUGAAACCAGUGCAUCUUGGAGCACAGCAUCUGCAGUCUCCAGGCACAUUUCUUGCCCUUAUCCCUCGUGUGCUCAGAGGCAAGUGCUGGGGAGAAAGGGCAGGCAUAAACUGAAGGGCUGAGAGCAUCUGCACUGGGAGGACAUCCUCUGGAAAGGGCUUUGCUCCGAUUGCGGGGAUUCCAGUCUGUGCCCUGGUUCUUCAUCAGUGCUAUUUCCCAUUGCCAGGCGCAUUUAAUUGUCGCUCGGAUUGUGUAGGAAGGCAUCCAGACACUAUGGAAAUGGAGCCAUAUAGGGACUGGACAGUGGAGGCACAUGCUGGUCACCCUCUCACUUGCACAGCAGUGGGAAUACUUUUUCCCUUACACGAAGAUAUUUUUAAAGUGGAGAAUGCCGUUAUUAUUUGUUGUCGCACAGCAUCCAGCAUCACCAUUCUUGGAAGCCAGCGCAAUGCCACCGAUGUCAGUGUCAGAAGCAUUAUUAGCAGACUUUUUGAUAUCUCCCCAGAUGCCCUCAGGCUCAAUGGUGUUUGAUGUGGAGAGGGGACCUUCACUGCAACCAUGCCCGUGACAGAGCAGAGAGCAUACCCACCACUUCCAGCGCAGCGAGGCCACAUGGCCUUCACCAACACCGUGGCUGUGAAAGACCAACCUUUAAUCAAAGCUCCUGACCUGGGAGUGCUGUAGAGAUAAGGUGGUUCAGCAAGACCAGGCUGGGGGUCUGUUUCUGACUUGGUUGCUUGUCUGCAGGUCCAGCUUCUCCGCUCCACUUGGCUUCAGACGGUGGCAGGUGCUUCUCUGCCCAUCUGCACAAGUGCUUGGAUGUGGUCAGCUGUCUGCUUUUUGUUCUCUCUGUCUUGCUUUAAGCCCACAAAACUACUUAAAUGCCAUCCGCUGAGGUCAGACCUGGAGGCAAAGUGUCAGAGGGAAGAAGGCCGAUUCCCAAGGCAGGGGAACAACUUGAACUCGGCGCUUGUGUCGGGGUCCUGCACACUUUUUUGGGUUGCAUUUACCUUUUGCUGCUCAAGGACUUGCCGAGUGUGCACAGGAGAGGGAUGGGUCCCUGCUGUGUCGACCUGCAUGCCACAGCUGGUGCUGUGCCACUGCCAGCAGUGCUCAAGCAUGUGCCAGUGAAGCAAAGGAGACUGCAAAGGGGGACGGGGCUUCUCCUGCCCCCUGGUCUCGCCUCCCCAGCAAGGAACUGAGGAGCUGUGCUGUUCUCCAGGGUAACUCUUUCCCACACCAACAGACUUUGGUAGGAUUGCUGCUUUAAUUUCUUAAAACAAGCCUAGAUCCUGCAUUUUAUAAAUUACUACAAUGCAUUUAAUAGGUAGCCUUUUCAUAAAGGAGCACAGCGGAUGUGUACGCAAGCCCUGAUGAAGCUAAUAACUGCCUCUCAAUGGCUUUCAGAGAGUUAUUACAUAUUUAAGAUCCAAGCUCCCUUAAUCAACCACAGAGAUGCAGCUGGCAGCGGUAAAUUGCCAACAACAGCUCAUUACAAAUAAGGAAACAUUGGUUUUUCAAGGACAAAAACCGUAUCAGUUCUUCAGCGAGAGCUAACCACUCCUGUCCUCACCCCUCUUUCCCCCUGUCCCCCCAAGUGACGUGCUGGCACAACUUGCUUCAUCCAGUAACACAGGCUCGCUGCCUAAUCCCCUCCACAGGGGACACCAUCAAAUCAAGUUCCUAGAUCUCAUGCACACACAAAAUGACUUAUUUGGGCAAGCAGCACAGACUGCAUCCCGCGCUCACCCUCCCCAGGCAAGCCACAGGCAGGGCUUGUCCUACAAUGCUGUGAUGACUUGCCGCAGGAGCACACCCACUGGCUUUACUCUGGGGAGGACCAGAUCAGCUCAUAAGACACAUAGAAACACAGUUCUGCAAAUGUACAUUGCAGGCUUGAGACCUGGGAAUGUUUUUUUUUUCAGCCUGUGCAUAUAUAUGUGGUGUCCACAUCACUCCAUGGCCAGCUUGCAUGCACAUGAGAAUAGCAAGUGCAAGCCAGGUCUAAAGGUGGCCAUCCAGUGUGCAGCUGGAAGCUCACCACUGCACGUACAAUUUCCAAGCUCAGACCUUCAGUGGUUCUCCUGAGGCAUUCGAGAAACUGAAAUCCAGCACCCGGCCCUGUACAUCGCAGGGAUUCAGCUGCAGACAGCAUCUCUCUGUUCCUUGAGGCCCCAAGCAGCAUUUCUUUCUCCAUCCUCUCUGCGAGACACAGUAAGAGGAAUUGCCACCCUCAGGGAUUUUCCAUCCUCAGACCAGGCCAGGCUUCCUGACUGAUGAAACUGUAGGUACUGUGGGCACUCACAUUUUCUUCUUGUGGUAGUGAAUUUCCUAUUCUUUUUCAUGCCAAACAACCUAGCCCCAAACUGCUUUGCUUUUCUGCUUGGUGUUGGAAGGCUCAGACUGCCCUAAACACAAUGGAAAGCCGAAAUUCAGGUCGAUCCCCCUGAAGAAAAUAUUUCAGGCCUGUUUGGUUUCUUCCUCCUGCAUUGAGAUAUCAAUCCAUAAGGUGCAAAGCAGUGAACACGACAUCGUGGGGUCACCGUUAGUGGUUAUUCUUCAGUUAUGUACCCAAGAAUUAGCUUUUAAGCACUUGCAGGCAGCUGGGUGCAGGGGAAAGGGGAAGGCCUGUGACCACCAUGCGGCCUUAUUUCCCUGGGUGCAACUGAGACAAGAGCACAGCAGUUUAAAAGAGACACCCAUGGGUGGAAGACAUUAAGACCAAUUAAGACGGUUUAGGAGUGUCCAGGAAAGACUAAACAUUGAGUGAACAGAGAGGAGAAAUAGAAGUGAGAGCGCACCCCAUUACAGCUGCAUCUUUCCCUCUUGGAGAGGGGACAACCAGCUCUUGGUGAAAGGGGAAUGCUUGCUUGCUUCUCCUUCAGCCUAGUUUACACCAGUCUCUGCCACAUUGGGAUGCUCCCCUCUCCUUGACCGAGUCCUAAUGCAAGGCUGGCUGUGCUGGAGGUUUCAUUUUUCCUUUGAAGCUGCAAGCCGUGGAUGCAAAACCGAGCUAGAGAGGUCCCAGGGCUGAGUCAGGAUUUUAUUUUUUGCUAUUUCUGUAGAAAUACCUCACCCAACUUCUUCUGGAAAAGAAAAGGGGAACUUAAAAAAGCAGUACUGCUUGGUUCCCCCCGCCACAAUCUAUAUUUAUUGACAUCGACAUUUUUAAAGAGCUCUUGGGAGGGAGGCUAUGUGAUCUCCGGGGACAUUUUCCAUAAAAAACUUACGGUUUAGCUGGUGUUUGUGUCACUGCUAGCAUUUGACUCCUAGAACUAUGCUUCCAGAGAAAUGCCAAAGCUGGCUCAGACGAGUCAUAUACGACGGGCCAAGAAUUUCACUCCCUAAGCCUGCAGCAGACACCUUGUAUAAAAACAGCUAAACUAUGUGUUUUAUGUAUUAAUACAGCAAGAUGUAUUAACAUAAGAUUGAUGAUGCAUUUACAGGUGUAACCUUAUAGGUGAAGUAACAAUACAAAUUGCUAGCUAUAUAAUUUUACAUAACAUCUUCCUCACCGACUUUUUAAUGCAGUAAAAACUUUUCUGCUCGUGGUGUGUGGGGGCAGACAUACAGAGUGCAGGUUGUAAUAGCUCUCUAGCUGCGAUGUCAGCUCGAGGGAAGCUGCUAUUUCUUGACCAUGAAAGAACACACAGUUUUCAUACUUCUUUGCAGUCAUCUCUGGAAGAGAUGCACCUCCUGAUGUUUCAAGACAGCAAGGAGAAGUGAUGCCAUCAGCUGGGGUAAAGAUUGCUUCCUCCUUCCAGACAGGAGGAUGGACUUCUUUUGAACUAUUUGGCAUUUGAUCAGGAGA